AUGACACCCCAUCAUGCCCCCUUGUUCCCAUGCCACUACCUAGCUUACUUCCCAAGCUACCCACAUAGCUUACAUAUCAAGCUAGCUCCACACUAUAUAUAUGGGCUCACAUCCAUCCAUCUAGGGAAGAUGAAUUCCCUCACGCAUGCAUACAUGCCACUCAUGGUGGAGCACUCUCAUGCCCACUUGCUAGCUAGCUUAUACACCCAUAUAAGACAUAUGCAAAGCCAGAUGCAUAUGGCACUGAGCUUAGAUACAGCUCUAGGAGCACUCUGUACCAGAUAUACAUACCAGAUAUACUCAGACAUGUAG
rnacentral:rRNA from 1 species